UACGUAGGUGGCAAGCGUUGUCCGGAAUUACUGGGUGUAAAGGGAGCGUAGGCGGGAAUGCAAGUUGAAUGUUUAAACUAUCGGCUCAACCGGUAGUCGCGUUCAAAACUGUAUUUCUUGAGUGAAGUAGAGGCAAGCGGAAUUCCUAGUGUAGCGGUGAAAUGCGUAGAUAUUAGGAGGAACACCAGUGGCGAAGGCGGCUUGCUGGGCUUUUACUGACGCUGAGGCUCGAAAGCGUGGGUAGCAAACAGGAUUAGAUACCCUGGUAGUCCAUGCUGUAAACGAUGAUUACUAGGUGUGGGGGGACUGACCCCUUCCGUGCCGCAGUUAACACAAUAAGUAAUCCACCUGGGGAGUACGACCGCAAGGUUGAA
rnacentral:rRNA from 1 species